rnacentral:other from 1 species
AGCCUUCUGGGGUAUACGAGGGUCUGGUUUUUGAACCUACAUUUGGAAAACGGGAGAUCUAAAUUUAAACGGUGGAUAUCAGGCCUCCUGCGAGCAGAGGAAGAUAGAAACGUUUGUGCGAUCACCCACCUAUCGAGAGAUAGGUGUCAAAAAACAGGCUACGGUAUCCUGGUUUGUUU